rnacentral:rRNA from 1 species
GGACCAGACUCCUACGGGAGGCAGCAGUGGGGGAUAUUGCACAAUGGAGGAAACUCUGAUGCAGCGACGCCGCGUGAGGGAGGACGGUCUUCGGAUUGUAAACCUCUGUCUUUGGGGAAGAAAAUGACGGUACCCAAAGAGGAAGCUCCGGCUAACUACGUGCCAGCAGCCGCGGUAAUACGGAGGGUGCGAGCGUUAAUCGGAAUUACUGGGCGUAAAGCGCUCGUAGGCGGUAUGUCAAGUCAAGGGUGAAAUCCCCGCGCUCAACGUGGGAACUGCCUUUGAAACUGGCAAACUGGAGUGCGUGAGAGGAUAGUGGAAUUCCAGGUGUAGGAGUGAAAUCCGUAGAUAUCUGGAGGAACAUCAGUGGCGAAGGCGACUAUCUGGCACAUAACUGACGCUGAGGAGCGAAAGCGUGGGUAGCAAACAGGAUUAGAUACCCCAGUA